UCGGAGCAGCAGCAGCCCUGGUCCAUCGCGUGUGCAGAGAAGAAAUCACGAUGAGGCGAGCGCUUCCCGUCCUCCUCACAAUCAGCCUCGCGGCUUGCGCCGCACAAACAUCUGACAAUGAGACCGACGACUACAUUCCAGCUCCGUAUUUUGACGACGGAGAAAACUUGAGUAGCCAGAACUGUGGAAACGAAUCAACUCUGAAUCAAUCGACCGUUUUUAUUAGAAACAUACGGACUGGAAAACAUUGCUCUCCAUACAUAGCUAUUUCUCAAAGGACUAUUCUUGGAAUUGGUUAUUGCAGUAUGAAUAAAAGUGAUACAACUGACAUACGGGUCUUUCCAACAUUUUGUUUUUGGCGAACAAAACAAGAGGAAUGCAUCAGAUUUUCCGUUAAAGUGCUGGAUGUAAUUGACAUUGCCGUAAACCCGACAUCUGAUUUAAAAUUCACGAUUGUGAUAACCGAGGAAAUGCGGAAGUAAGGCCGUAAAUCCCAUUUGUUUGUUUAACCGCGACAACGUAAUGGACUUGCAACUUCAAAGGGAAUCACCCUACUUUCA